rnacentral:rRNA from 1 species
GUCUAUGGCCAUACCACCCUGAACAUGCCGGAUCUUGUUUGAUCUUUGAAGCUAAUCAGGGUCGGGCCUGGUUAAUACAGUGAACCCUCGUUUAUCGAGGUUAAUCGGUUCUAGACC